rnacentral:rRNA from 1 species
GUGGGGAAUAUUGGACAAUGGGCGAAAGCCUGAUCCAGCCAUGCCGCGUGUGUGAAGAAGGUCUUCGGAUUGUAAAGCACUUUAAGUUGGGAGGAAGGGCAGUAAGUUAAUACCUUGCUGUUUUGACGUUACCGACAGAAUAAGCACCGGCUAACUUCGUGCCAGCAGCCGCGGUAAUACGAAGGGUGCAAGCGUUAAUCGGAAUUACUGGGCGUAAAGCGUGCGCAGGCGGUUAUAUAAGACAGAUGUGAAAUCCCCGGGCUCAACCUGGGAACUGCCUCCAAAACUGCAUGACUAGAGUACGGUAGAGGGUAGUGGAAUUUCCUGUGUAGCGGUGAAAUGCGUAGAUAUAGGAAGGAACACCAGUGGCGAAGGCGACUACCUGGACUGAUACUGACACUGAGGUGCGAAAGCGUGGGGAGCAAACAGGAUUAGAAACCCGUGUAGUCC